CCGUGCUAGACGGGGAGCUAGCGGUGCCCUGUACCCGCAAUCCGCUUCAGCGGGGUUGAACUCCUCCUCUAGGUCCGGGCCCGCACCGCUGCCUGUGGCGUCGGUGUUGAAAGCUGGGCGCUGCGCGGCGGAGACCUGUGAACCCGGUCAGGUCCGGAAGGAAGCAGCCGUAAGCGGGACUCUUCGUGCGCCGCAGACCUACCUGGCUUGAGCCGCGUCAGGAUGGGCAUGUUCGGCAAACCCGGAGCGACAGGGGGUGCACGG
rnacentral:SRP_RNA from 1 species